rnacentral:misc_RNA from 1 species
UACGAAGGGGGCUAGCGUUGUUCGGAAUUACUGGGCGUAAAGCGCACGCAGGCGGAUUGAUUAGUCAGAGGUGAAAUCCCAGGGCUUAACCUUGGAAUUGCCUUUGAUACUGUCAGUCUUGAGUCCGGGAGAGGUGAGUGGAAUUCCUAGUGUAGAGGUGAAAUUCGUAGAUAUUAGGAAGAACACCAGUGGCGAAGGCGGCUCACUGGCCCGGUACUGACGCUCAGGUGCGAAAGCGUGGGGAGCAAACAGG